GAGGUUGGCAGAUUUUUGGCGACGGCGUCUCACCGGCCUUUUUGCCUUCCGAGCUGUUUGGGUUAUGGUUUUCGUGGGGUUAGAGCCGGAAUUGUUUGGGGACGAUGAUUAGGCCGGAGCUUCGGAAACUUUUUCUUCGGCUCUUUUCUUCUUUCUUUUUCGUCUUGUAGACGAGUACUCUUUUUCCUUUUUACGGUUUUUACCUUUGGAUUUUCCGUAAAAAGGUUUUAAUGAGGCUCGGCCCUUAGUCUGCUUUUCUUGUGCUUUCAAGGGUUUUUUAGAUUUUUUCUUUUCUUUUUUAUAAAAUCGCAGUUUAAUAAGUAUGAAACGCGUAUAAUUAUAAUUGCUAAUUAC
rnacentral:lncRNA from 1 species